AGAUUGGCUUACAUAACCAUUCAUAGCUACAGGUAUAGCCACCAAGAAUGCUGAGGAACAGGCCUUACCUCCUCUAGGCCAAUUAUCAGAGACACUGUAGUUUGUUAUAAAUACCAUCCAGCCAUGCUUCUCAACUGAUAGAAACCAGACAAGUAAGCGGAGGUGACAUGUUGGGCCAAGCUCUGCUGAAGCAAGAUUAUUAGUUUUAGGCAUGAGUGGAGAGUCUGAGUACCAACUAGUAGAAGGAUCUUUGGAGAAUACCACCCUAGAGGACCUAGUUAAACACAAUGCUCAGUAGCACCUUACAUGGUUUAAGUGCACCCAUGAACUGAAUUUGGCAAGGCUGGAAAGG